GAACCAAUCCGAGCCUUGCAAUUUUCACAUUAGUUUUGCAUUGUUGAAUCUUUGCUGCAUUAAUCGUGUCGAGUUGCAGGAUUAGAUUGGAUCGUUUUUCAGAUUUUUUCUACUAGAUCGAAUUUGUUUUUGUCUUUUGAUUUCGUGUGACGCAGGCUUUCCAUCAAUCUUCUGCCGCCAAACUUCCUGCCACACCGCCGCCAUAAUCUUCCGCCGCCACCAUAUCUUCCACCGAGUCCCUCUUCGAGUCCUACACCGAGUCCCUCUUCGAGUCCUACACCGAGUCCCUCUUCGAGUCCUACAUCGAGUCGGCAAGUUAUAGUUUUCAGCCGCGAGUUCGAGUCCGAGUCCAAUCAAUAGUGCUUUUGGAAAGUGUUUCAUAAUAGAUCAAAUUUUGUUUAGAGAUCAAGUUGUUCGGAAAGUUGUGAAAAAAAAAGAAAGGAAGGAAAGAAAGAAAGAAAGAAAAAACGAAAAAAAAGAGAGAAAGAGUUCGAGUCAGUUUCGGACCCGAGUCCAAGUAGAAUUAGAGUUUCGGGUGGGUUUGACCCGUGUUCACUAAAACAGACGUAUCUUUUGCAUACGAAGUCGGAUUUGGACGUUCCAGGACUUUUCGGAAAGCUCUCGACGAGGCGCAUCCUCUAAAAUAAACGGCUCCUUGACCCUCAAAUUCGGCCUCUAAGGUGGACUUUUCGAGCUCCGAAGUUUCUGCACCCGUUUUUCGGCACCGGGGCAGCGCAGUAUAUCUCAGUUUUCUCCAUCGUCCGACCUCCGUUUCAAGUGAUCUUGCACUUGUUGGAAAGCUUCUUUUGAUACGCUUCUAACCCAUAUCUUCUCAUAUUUUUCUGAGUUUUCCUUACUACAGCCUUUGCUAUUCUCCUACAGACCGACGUGCAGCUUUCCGGUCUUAACUUCUUUUGCGUGAGUUUCUAGGGAUAAAAAAAAAUAGAAAAGAAUAAGAAGCCAAACAGAAUGCCACAAAAAGAAAAUAAAAGUGAAAAGAAAUAUUCCCCAGAGAUUUACUUGUUUUACCUUUCCUUUGAUCUUUUCUUUCUACCUUUUUCAGUAUCUAGGUUUAGUUAAUUUCUGUAAUUCGUUCUUAUCGACUCCAGCAGCUAGGACUAGCAUUUUUGAGCAUAUUUUCAACUUUGCAUUGCUGAUUUGAUUAUUCGCUUUUCCUUGAUACUCACAUAAGCCUCAAAGCUCCACAGAUUCUACACCUAGGUUGGUUUGCCUUGAGGCAUCGAUACAUUAAUCUUCGGAGGGCUUGUUCUCGCCGCUGGCCAUCACCUUCCUGUUUGCUGGGUA
rnacentral:lncRNA from 1 species